rnacentral:rRNA from 1 species
ACGGAGGAUGCAAGCGUUAUCCGGAAUUAUUGGGCGUAAAGCGUACGUAGGCUGUUUCAUAAGUCUGUUGUCAAAGCCCGAGGCUCAACCUUGGAUCGGCAAUGGAAACUGUGAGACUAGAGAGAGAUAGGGGCAGGAGGAAUUCCAGGUGUAGCGGUGAAAUGCGUAGAUAUCUGGAAGAACACCAGUGGCGAAAGCGUCCUGCUGGAUCUCAACUGACGCUGAAGUACGAAAGCUAGGGGAGCGAAUGGGAUUAGAUACCCCAGUAGUCCUAGCCGUAAACGAUGGGUACUAGGUGUUGGCCGUAUCGACCCGGUCAGUGCCGUAGCUAACGCGUUAAGUACCCCGCCUGGGGAGUACGGUCGCAAGAUUG